UUGCGUUUGUACUGUGACUUGAAGUGGCUUCCAUAAUGCAUUGUGAUAAUAUUUCGAAUCAAUGCAUUUUCUUAUUGCAGUGACAAACAGGCUAUUGUGUAUCAUUGUCAUUUAAAAAUAACUAUAGCUUAUUGUUAUUUCGAGAACGACGUGACGCUGCGUGAACUAAAAAUGCUGAGACCGAUGCUAUCAACCAAGGAGACUGGAGAUAACGGGAAGGCAUUCCUCCUGCUGGGGCUGCUUUCCAGUGAAUGUAUGGGGCACUGAGGAAUGGGCCAAGGGGAAGAUUGGAAUAUUGCACCUGUGCCAUGGGAGCAACAAACAUCUUGUCUCUUUAUGAUGGGUUCUGUGUGUAAAUCCAAUGCCAUACUGACACCUCCAUAACAGUCUCCCAAAAUGGGAGUAAGGAUGCCAUGAGAUUAAGACCUUGCUUUCUAAGGAUCCUUCUGAUCGAAGCGGAGAGUCUUGACACAUGUCAGCCACAUUUGGCAUGAAGUAUUGACCUCCGUCUCUGUGGGGCCACGAACCUGUCCAUACCCGGCACCAGAUGGAACAAUCCCCAGGCCGGCGGCAUGUCUCUUACCCAAGGCACUUUGUGAUUUCCCAGGCUCGUUGUAGGUGCGGCUCUGCUCUGGUGUGCCAGGGAACAGAGCGGGGCACUUGCACACUGCUGCACCACAGGCCUGACGUAUGCCAACAAUUGUCCAGCCCGGGAUUAGUUUUUGUAUCCGGUUACGGACUUUAUUGCCAUGGAGUCGGGUUCGGCACUCUGUGGCAGGCCAGGGAUGUUGCUGAAAUGCAGUGAUUUAUGUGUUGCUGAGUGAGAGCAGCAGGUUCAAGCCAGAGGUCUCAGCACUGGAGGGUGGGGGGUGGCGGAGUUAAAACAGUCAGUGCUCCUUUUAAAGGCUUCCUUUCCACACAUACUAGGCCCGUAUAGUGAAAAUAGUGAAACUGUAAACAAGCUGGGAACAUUGUUUAUGUUUGAAGUAACACUGAUGGCAGAACUCACAGGGGACAAGGAAAACUUCCUGAAAAUAACUAUAACAGUCCAAAGAAAUUUACUGUAAACCCAUCCAAUGUGUGCUUCUUAUAUCUCAUAAAUAUUACUUUUUUGUACUGGAUAAAUAGUUACCGCAGAUGAAUGGCUGAUGCAUUUUUCUUAACACGACGAUGAAGAUCUAUUAAAAUUUUUCAGAACAGUAUUUUAAAUGAUCAAGUGCCUAGUGAAUGCAAUAACUAUAGCAACCCUGCAACUUCUCACUCAAGAUCACUUUCCAGGGCCAACAGAGUCUGUGCUGCUUCAAGCUAAUGACACCUGGCUGAUCACGGUCUGUCGCCAAUGGCAACAAACUGGGCAGAUGAUUUCAGCAACGAUGAUAUAACAGAAAAUGACCUCAUUCCUGCAGCUUCUCUGAAGACUCCAAAAGCUUUGAGGAUGAAGGGCUGUCAAAACCUGUCAGAUUUCUGAAACAGAGAAAAACCUGUGCAACGUGCAAAUGGGGGAGUUUUAUUUUUCUCCGUCCAGUUUGAUAUGACACUGUAGCUCACUUGGAAAGUUUCCUUGGAAGGCUUUAAAAAUGCCUUCAUAGAGAUGAAUGAUAAUUACGUGCAUGGGUUUGAGUGGAAGAUGUAAGUGACCUUUUCAAACCACAUGUUUUAACGUGCAUAAUAAUGAAGGUGUAGUGUAACUUUAACCUUUGACCCCAGCUUACAAAAGCUGCAUUUAAUACCAGGUUCCUGCAUUGUUCCUUCUCUUGGUCCAUAGAUUCAUAGUCACAAUCACUUUCAGUUUCUUAACCUUAACCCUCCCUGUCUGUGAAAGUUCAAUGAUGGUCAAACAAAGUUUUCAUGAUAAUUCAACCCCAUCCCAUCAAAAUUUCUAUGUAAGCUAAAAUGGUGUAAAAAAUAGCCUAUCACAGCUGAACUGAUUUCAUAUGGCACUGAACCUUCUGCAACUGCAACUUCUGCCCUUCAUAUUCAUAAGCACAGCAGCCUUGCCAAUUCUGUGGUUUAAUAACCACCAUAUAUAUUUUUCUUGUAUAUCUUGUAAUAGCUUUGAUUACCUGUAAUAUCAACAAUACGAUCAACACUAAAAUGAUAUAAAAGCAGAUUAUGUAAACUGAAAUUAGAAGUGAAACAGCCUGCCUUUAAUAUGAAAUAUGAUAUUCCUGUUAAUUACAAAAAACUGUUCAAUAUGUCAUUUGCCAAAAUGAGGUGCUGCCCAUAAAACAAGAGAUUGAAGAGGUAAAAUGUUCAGGUCCGAUCUAUAAGGUGACAGUGAUGCGUCUCCUAGAUACUGCUGGAGCUGCACGUUGACGGAGGUAACCGAUGGUAAUCAGGUUAAGGGAUUAGCCAGCUUGAAGGCAUCGCCUUCGAUACAGGACUUUGGAAAUACAUAAUGACAGCUGUAGACUGAUGACACCUUGAAGCGGUUGGACAAUACAAGCUGGCAAUUUCAGCUAAUCCUAAAAUGCACUCAGUAUUUAGUUCCACAGGUGUGCUCUGCUUCAGUCCCUCUGCUUCUUGGGAUAGACUCCAGGUUCACUGUAACCCCCCACUGGAUAAGCCAUUAUGAAAGAUAUUUGGAUAGAUGUUUUCUCAAUGUUAUCAUCUUAAGUAAUAGUUGUAUUCUUAGUUUAGAGUCUGUAAUGCAGUGCUUUCCAGUGUACUGUAAUGGGAACUAACCUUUAGCUUUCUCAUGGCUCACUAAGGGUGGAACUGGCAUUUUGUUACUGUGAACAGUACACACCUGACUGCUUUAUUGGUUCCUGUAUCACUGCAGGCCGUCAUGGCUGCAAGGGUGCUGCCUACCAUAGACGCCGCUCUGGAAUUCUGAGUUGUGCUUAUAGCCACAACAUAAGUGAUACUGUCAACUGUGUAACAUGCCCUGGUGGAUAUUCCCCCAAACCCAGAGUGUCACCUAUAAAUCCCUAACUCUUCUUGCUGAAUUCUCUCCAUGCAGUUUUUUUGUAGUUGUCAUAUUUCUUACUGGGAUUUUACAAACUAUUACUGCUUCUAAACUGUCCUCAAGAUUGUAAUUUAAAAAAAAGAAAGAAAAAAAAACAGUAGUUGAUGUUGUCAGGUGAAAUAUGGGUCAGAAAUUACCAGGUAUGUUCCAGUAUAUGUGGGUGAUGGGCACCAAAGUGGGGUAGAUAGGCUUUUGCACAGUGUUGGUUAUCAUUUCAGAUGCAGAUAUUGUCCUGAGGAUUGUUUAUGCUUUAAAUGAGAGAAGCAGCAGUAGGGCAUGUCUGCAGAGAGGUGGGGUCUGGUUGCAUGAGAGGGGUCAUUUGCAUGAGAGGUUUGUCACAGGCCUACGUUUGCGUGACAGGAACAGCUGUCAAUGAACUGACUUCAUUUUCUUGGAUGACAUGGCCUCAUGUGGGUCACGCAGAUACAAGAUGCAUUUCCAUUCAUCCAUCACCUCAGUGGCCACCGACCCUUUGACCUUUGGAUGUUGACCUUCAACCUCUGAUGUUGACCCCUUCGUGGAACCUCUUAUUUCGCGCUCAGGCAUCUCCAUUGACUACCUGCCAGGCACCUGCUCUGAGAAAUGAAACGACAGGAAUGUUACUCCUGGGAGUCCAUUGGCCACUUAGACAACAGCCUUGGUUCAAUCCCUGAAUGGGCCUUGAGUAGGUCGGGUAAACCAAUCUCCCUAAUUAUCUAUUGAAAGAACAUUCUCUUUUCCUUUUAGAGUCAUUACUCUGAUUUCAAUUGUUGAAAAGUAACAUUGAGGGGUUAGAGUAAGAGGGGAAAAAAUAUAUGAAAAGAUAGUGUUCCGAUUUCAUCAAGGUUAAUUGCAUGGAGGGACUAGAUGCCAAAUCCAAGUCUUGCAUGGCAGGGGGGUUAGAAGCACAUUAAGACAGGAAAACAUGAAGGAUAAGUAUUCUCAUAUGGUGCUCAGUGCAAAUAGUUGAAUAAGAGAUCAUAGCCUUGUCUCUAAGUUCACAUAUGCCCCUGUCCAUUUGUGAAUGGAGAGCUGAGGGUGCUUCGUGUUGUCUUACUGCUUACAGGAGAAUGCCGUUGGGUCUUCAAACUUGAAGAUGGUCUAGAGUUGUAGACAACAUACUGAUAUAUAAACAUAUCUUAGUUAGCCACUGAACUGUUCAACAUUUCUAAGAAACAUUUUUAAGUCAACAUGGUUAAAUAAUGUGAGUAAUGUAUGCCGGCACCUAUAAAAGAAUCCCAUUCUCAAAACAUUUGAAGAAAAUGCUGAAAGAGCAAAAAUAAAUGCUGAUAGAGACAAACAAUGGAUUCUUUAGACAAUACAUCUAUAGAGUGAACUUGUCUUGGAAAUGCCUUUCUAAAAUACAAAUAAAAAGUCUGCAAACAGACAGCGGCGGUUGGCUAGUGAUCUGAAGAAUGGCAACCUCAGUUUGGCCACUUCAUGGAUUUAAUGUAGAAAAAAGAUAUUUUAAGUCAAAAAAAUCCAAAAGACGUGUGUUGAGCAUGGUGGCGUCUGUGCGGAAACACUCAAAUGGCCUUUGCUUAAGUGAGUCAUGCACCUCAAACAUCAAUAUAUAUCAGCAUGGUUAUUCUUUGGAUACUGUAUUUUGGUGAUUUAAUCAAGAUGUCCUGAUCUGGUAAUGAGCACUAUGGAUGGGGUCACAAGCAGGGGGCCAGCUAUACAUCAGAUGGGGCUGCACUUGUAGGAACCUAUGUUCCAGCUCCAUUAAACCUAAGAAAGGAAGAAGGUGAGUGGAAGGAAAAAAAAAGAAGAGGAGAGACGAAGGCAGCAAAUAUUCCUCAAAGCGCUCGUGCCACUGGAAAUUUAGAAUUCAGCACAUGCACUUGAAGGGA